rnacentral:rRNA from 1 species
CUUACGGGAGGCUGCAGUGGGGAAUAUUGCACAAUGGGGGAAACCCUGAUGCAGCGACGCCGCGUGAGUGAAGAAGUAAUUCGUUAUGUAAAGCUCUAUCAACAGGGAAGAAAAUGACGGUACCUGAGUAAGAAGCCCCGGCUAACUACGUGCCAGCAGCCGCGGUAAUACGUAGGGGGCAAGCGUUAUCCGGAUUGACUGGGUGUAAAGAGUUGCGUAGGUGGCAUAAUAAGUAGCUAGUGAAAUCUGGUGGCUCAACCAUUCAGACUAUUAGCUAAACUGUUAAGCUCGAGACCGUUAGGGGUAACUGGAAUUUCUAGUGUAGGAGUGAAAUCCGUAGAUAUUAGAAGGAACACCAAUAGCGUAGGCAGGUUACUGGGACGGUUCUGACACUAAGGCACGAAAGCGUAGGGAGCAAACGGGAUUAGAUACCCCGGUAGUC